rnacentral:rRNA from 1 species
UGGCGCACGGGUGCGUAACGCGUAACCAACCUACCCACAUCUGGGGGAUAGCCCGCCGAAAGGCGGAUUAAUACCGCAUAAGCUACUUGGCCGGCAUCGGUUGGAUAGUAAAGAUUUAUUGGAUGUGGAUGGGGUUGCGUGCCAUUAGCUAGUUGGGGGGGUAACGGCCCACCAAGGCGACGAUGGCUAGGGGAGCUGAGAGGCUGGUCCCCCACACGGGCACUGAGAUACGGGCCCG